UCCCUGGUGGUCCAGUGGUUAGGACUCUGCACUUCUGCUGUCGAGGGCCCGGGUUCAACCCCUGGUUGGGGAA